rnacentral:piRNA from 1 species
GGAGCUGUGAUCAACUGUGCUGA